rnacentral:rRNA from 1 species
UACGUAGGGUGCAAGCGUUGUCCGGAAUUAUUGGGCGUAAAGAGCUCGUAGGCGGUUUGUCGCGUCUGCUGUGAAAUCCCGAGGCUCAACCUCGGGCCUGCAGUGGGUACGGGCAGACUAGAGUGCGGUAGGGGAGAUUGGAAUUCCUGGUGUAGCGGUGGAAUGCGCAGAUAGUCAGGAGGAACACCGAUGGCGAAGGCAGAUCUCUGGGCCGUAACUGACGCUGAGGAGCGAAAGCGUGGGGAGCGAACAGG